UAACAAAUAAAAUAAUGACGCAUGGCUAUAUGAGUAUAAAAAUUAUUUUAGAAUAUAUUAAAUUAAAAAAAUUAUUUUAAAUUAAAAAAAUAAACCCUUCUUCUUCAUCUUCACUCUUUUCUCCAUCUUCACUCUUCUUCUCCAUUUUCACUGCAUUUUCAGGGAUAUUUUUCCGGCAAGUCUCGUUCUCUAUUUCUUCCGGCGAGUCUCGUUCUUUCUUCUAUAGCUAGCAAUAUGAACUCAGAUUUAGUUGGGUCAAUUCAAAAAAUUACCAAAGACUACAUAAUCUAUCAAUCCAAAAAAAUCACUCUUAACUGAAAUUCGACACAUAAAAGUUAGUUUUUAGGCAAAUCAGAUUUGCGAAAUUCAUUGAUUUUUAGAGUUAGUUUGUGUCUCCCUUUAUCAUAGUCAACAGUAGCUUGCUUUUUCUUGUCAAAGGUUGUAAUAUUUUUAUUUUUGUUGUUGGAUUUUUGUUGGUUUAAGGUGAGUGUAAUGAAAUGGGGUUUGAAUGUGGAGCUUUGUAUAGUGGAAGCCAUGGAAAGAAA
rnacentral:lncRNA from 1 species